UCGAGAAACUCCUGGAAAGCCCCUGAUUUGCAUGCACCAAGAGAUGCAAAGUCUGUUUCAAUGGAGUGAUGGAUCCUUGGAGCUGCCAGGAGGACCUCACGCUUGGAUAGUGCUGUGGGAUAAUGCUGUGGAAAGGGGCAAAUGCUCGGAGUGACCCGGGGGUCCCUGGGGAGAGACAUCCCUCCAGCCCCAGGGGAAGGAGUGAAGGCAGCAGGACC
rnacentral:lncRNA from 1 species